GAAUGAAUUAAUCUCAUAAGUAAAAGAUACAGGGUGCGUCAGCUAAAUCCGGACAAAUUUCAAAUUGAAUUUCCUGCCAAAUUUGACUUCAGCGCUAUGAUGCUGCUGACGUUUUAGUAAGCCAGACAGACGAUGUGUUCGAGGAUAAAUUCAAAAUGGCUGAUCAGUUAGGAUCGAGUGCUGAAUAUAAUCGGAGAGCAGCGAUAAUCGAAGGCCUUCGCGCUGAACGUUCACCUAUCGAAAUAAUUCAGUUCUUUAACUAGCCAAGAGCGACAGUUUAUGAUGUUGAUACUAGAUAUGCGGCUUCAGGUUCUGAAGGUUCUUCAGAACCUUCUUCAGGUUCUGAAGAAGGUUCUGCCACCCCAGGAAGGAAAAGCCAUUCCAGGAGAGAUCAUCAAGGACACCGGAAGUUGUCCAAAGGGCUUAAGAGCUUGUCUCAGAGGACCCAGGGCAGUCUCUCAGGCAAUUGGCAGAAAUAUUGGGUGUGAGUGAUGCUGCAAUGC
rnacentral:lncRNA from 1 species